GUGGAGUUUGAGGAGCUAUGAAAAACCCCAAUUUCAAUUCUUUAGCUAUAAUCCUCCUCCUUGCUUUCUUCAUCACUACCUCAAAUUCCACUGCCAGAAAAUUGGCAUCAGAACAAGGUAAAUGGUGUAUAUAUAUACAUAUAUUUUCACAUAUAUCAUAUAAUACAUAUAUUUUUCUUAAUGCAGGAGAAGUAGAUGAGAAUAUGACUCACAUCAAACGCAAGGACUCUGUCGUAGAGAUUGGAAAAAUCGACUCUUUUGACGUAAUUUCCUCUUGUCUCUACCGUUCUUGAAUUUUUUUUUUUCCGGAUGCAUGUGUGAGUGUGCGUGUGUGUGUAUUGUUUUGCUUUUGUCUGAACAUGCAAAUAAUAACGAAACAGAUGGAGGAGUAUCAAAACGACGAAGAUGAAGAUGACUUAAAGAGAAGAGUUACUGCAGAAGCUCACCUUGACUACAUCUACACUCAGCACCUUCAACCUUGAAACAAGUAUAUUUUGUCUAUGGGUAAAGUAAACCAGGCCUUACUUACACUAGCCAAAUUAAUUACAUAAAAUAAUUAAAUAAAUAAAUAAUCUGGUUGAAUUUAUGAAUGUUAAAACCUUGUUGUGAUGAUCUCUAUCGAGUUUCGGUAAUUGUGUUUGAUCUUUAAUUUACCUCAAUUAUUUUUUUUCAUACAUGUUAUAUUUAUCAUUUUUAUUAUAUUUCAACAGACCAUCAAAUAUUUUUAUCAAACAAAUAAUAUAUUUUCAGAAUUGAUUCAUUAGGUUUAUAAAACAACUUUUCAACAUUUUCACACCAUUGUCAUUUUUAUUCAAGAAGAAAUACAGGCAGGGGGAUUCAAAUUUGGACAGCUCAGCAAUUUUGUUAGACAGUUGGGGAGGUGUGUGCAAAUUGCAAUACCAAUUAUGAAUGUGACAUGAAUAAUGCAAGAAAAAUGGCAAAAAAUAAAAUAAAAUAUAAGAAAUUAAGAUAAAAACAAGAAAACAUGUGACUUUGAAAUAUUCAUUUAGCAAGGAAAUAGUGAAAAAAAUAAAAUGUUAUGAUCGAUCACAGUGGGAUUUGAACCCACGACCUUUAGAUUCGGAGUCUAACGCGUUAUCCACUACGCUAUGUGAUCAUUUCUAACAGAGAUGCAGAUAAAGAUAAAACAAUAACAAGAACAACAAAGUUUUGGCAUUUUCCAGAAAUUGAAACAGGGAGGGAAGAGAUAGUAACAAUAACAUCAGAAAAAGACAAAAGCAAAUGGAAAAAAGCACCCAAAACAAAUGAAAAUAAUCACGAGAUGGUAUUUAUUUUCCGUGUAAAAAAAAAACAAAUUAACAGAGAGAAUCGAUAUGAAAAGAGAUUACAGAUUUACCUUCUUUCUACAGCCGUGAUCCGAUCAAGCAACGAUGGAAUUUCCAAAUUUUCAUUUUAUUUUCCGGUGAUUGAAUAAAAUGAAAUGAAUUGGGAGGAUCCAUGAUUUAUUCCGCCAUGAAUUCGAAUUCCCGAUCCGAUCUGAGAGAAAGAGGAGAAAAUGCAAUUAACUGGGGAAUUAGGGUUUUUGCUCUACCUUUUGAAAUGUUAAGAGGAGAG
rnacentral:lncRNA from 1 species